GGCUGGUCUGAAAGUAGUAAGUUGUCUCAAUUGAUUGUUCACAGUCACAGAUCAAACUCCUUGUUCUACUCUUUCCCCCCUUCUCACCACUGCACUUAAUGAAUAGUCUUAA
rnacentral:Y_RNA from 3 species